UUUGGGGAUGAUGGCAGAGAGGUCACACCCGUUCCCAUACCGAACACGGAAGUUAAGCUCUCUAGCGCCGAUGGUAGUUGGGACCUUGUCCCUGUGAGAGUAGGACGUCGCCAAGC
rnacentral:rRNA from 1 species